rnacentral:rRNA from 1 species
UACGGGGGGGGCAAGCGUUGUUCGGAAUUACUGGGCGUAAAGGGCGCGUAGGCGGCCUUCUAAGUCGGACGUGAAAUCCCUCGGCUCAACCGAGGAACUGCGUCCGAUACUGAAAGGCUUGAAUCCGGGAGAGGGAUGCAGAAUUCCAGGUGUAGCGGUGAAAUGCGUAGAUAUCUGGAGGAAUACCGGUGGCGAAGGCGGCAUCCUGGACCGGCAUUGACGCUGAGUGAGCGAAAGCCAGGGGAGCAAACGGG